GGGAAAUACCACUUCCGGACAGCUGUAAACAACGUGUGUGGUUCCACGCUUCAUAUAUUAGACUGUAAUUUACAUUGAGAACCAUGUCUUCAUUUAAAAAAGUGGCGAAGUCUGGACAGAAGACUCAUCGGGAGAGAUCUCAGUUGUCUGUAAGAAAACAUUUAGGAUUAUUGGAGAAGAAAAAAGACUAUCGACUUAGAGCAAGGGAUUACCACAAGAAACAAAAUUAUUUAAAAGUGCUGAAAAAAAAGGCCUUGGAUAAAAAUCCUGAAGAAUUCUACUUUAAAAUGAUCAACUCCAAGCUGAAGG